UACGUAGGGGGCAAGCGUUGUCCGGAAUCAUUGGGCGUAAAGAGCGUGUAGGCGGCUUGGUAAGUCCGCUGUGAAAGUCCAGGGCUCAACCCUGGAAUGCCGGUGGAAACUGUCAAGCUUGAGUCCGGAAGAGGCGAGUGGAAUUCCUGGUGUAGCGGUGAAAUGCGCAGAUAUCAGGAGGAACACCAAUAGCGAAGGCAGCUCGCUGGGACGGUACUGACGCUGAGACGCGAAAGCGUGGGGAGCAAACAGG
rnacentral:rRNA from 1 species